rnacentral:rRNA from 1 species
GACGAACGCUGGCGGCGUGCUUAACACAUGCAAGUCGAGCGGUAAGGCCCUUUCGGGGGUACACGAGCGGCGAACGGGUGAGUAACACGUGGGUGACCUGCCCUCAGCUCUGGGAUAAGCCCGGGAAACUGGGUCUAAUACUGGAUAUGACUCCAUGACGCAUGUUGUGGGGUGGAAAGCCUUGUGCGGCUGGGGAUGGGCCCGCGGCCUAUCAGCUUGUUGGUGGGGUGAUGGCCUACCAAGGCGACGACGGGUAGCCGGCCUGAGAGGGCGACCGGCCACACUGGGACUGAGACACGGCCCAGACUCCUACGGGAGGCAGCCAGUGGGGAAUCUUGCGCAAUGGGCGAAAGCCUGACGCAGCGACGCCGCGUGAGGGAUGACGGCCU